UACGUAGGUGGCAAGCGUUGUCCGGAUUUACUGGGCGUAAAGGGAGCGUAGGCGGAUACUUAAGUGGGAUGUGAAAUACCUGGGCUUAACUUGGGUGCUGCAUUCCAAACUGGGUGUCUAGAGUGUUGGAGAGGAAAGUGGAAUUCCUAGUGUAGCGGUGAAAUGCGUAGAGAUUAGGAAGAACACCAGUGGCGAAGGCGACUUUCUGGACAAUAACUGACGCUGAGGCUCGAAAGCGUGGGGAGCAAACAGGAUUAGAUACCCUGGUAGUCCACGCCGUAAACGAGGGGUACGAGGUGUAGGAGGGAGCGACUCCUCCUGUGCCGCCGUUAACACAAUAAGUACCCCGCCUGGGGAGUACGGUCGCAAGAUUAAA
rnacentral:rRNA from 1 species